rnacentral:rRNA from 1 species
ACGAACGCUGGCGGCGUGCCUAAUACAUGCAAGUCGAACGCUUCUUUCCUCCCGAGUGCUUGCACUCAAUUGGAAAGAGGAGUGGCGGACGGGUGAGUAACACGUGGGUAACCUACCCAUCAGAGGGGGAUAACACUUGGAAACAGGUGCUAAUACCGCAUAACAGUUUAUGCCGCAUGGCAUAAGAGUGAAAGGCGCUUUCGGGUGUCGCUGAUGGAUGGACCCGCGGUGCAUUAGCUAGUUGGUGAGGUAACGGCUCACCAAGGCCACGAUGCAUAGCCGACCUGAGAGGGUGAUCGGCCACACUGGGACUGAGACACGGCCCAGACUCCUACGGGAGGCAGCAGUAGGGAAUCUUCGGCAAUGGACGAAAGUCUGACCGAGCAACGCCGCGUGAGUGAAGAAGGUUUUCGGAUCGUAAAACUCUGUUGUUAGGGAAGAACAAGGACGUUAGUAACUGAACGUCCCCUGACGGUAUCUAACCAGAAAGACACGGCUAACUACGUG